UACGGAGGGUGCAAGCGUUAAUCGGAAUGACUGGGCGUAAAGGGCACGCAGGCGGAUAGUUAAGUCGGAUGUGAAAUCCCCGGGCUCAACCUGGGAACUGCAUUCGAAACUGGUUAUCUAGAGUCUUGUAGAGGGGGGUAGAAUUCCACGUGUAGCGGUGAAAUGCGUAGAGAUGUGGAGGAAUACCGGUGGCGAAGGCGGCCCCCUGGACAAAGACUGACGCUCAUGUGCGAAAGCGUGGGGAGCAAACAGG
rnacentral:rRNA from 1 species